UGUGUGUGUGUGUGUGUGUGUGUGUGUGUGUGAAGGUUGCGCGCCUUAGGAUUACGGUUUUUGACCCAAACUUCGAGCGAACGCACACGAGGAGUGUUGUACAUUUAACGUGCUCAUAACGCACCCUCCCUGCUUUCGAUGAAUAAAAUGAUAAUUUGCAUCUUUGAUAUUAUUUACAUCUCCAGUUUCUGAGCUGCAUGACGAGCGUCGUGUACAAUUCUUGUUCCUUCGUUGAAGUAAUCUCUUUGAAAGAUUUAAGAAAAAAACAUAUGAAGUUCCAUAGCAACCUGCUAUGAGAUGAAACUUACACCGCUUCUUCUGAACAUCAUAAGCGCUAUCUGCCACCCCAAAGAAUCUAGUUCUACUAACAGUUACAGUGUCAAUGAAAGUCGCCAAUCUUUACCUCCAUCUUCCCAACACAACACCUAUUCACAUACCAAAUAUCAUCACGAUCCAUCCAAAAGGUCUUGAAAUACACCCAGAACAAUAUCUCCUUUUUUUCGUGGAGGUAAUGACAAAUAAUAACCGAUCCAACAACUGCACUACCCGCAUGCCACCAAGCAACCUUCUAUUGUUCGACACCUGGUCGACUAGAGACAGACACAGUCAUUUGGCACGCCAAGCCUACAGAAAGGCUGUGACAUAACAUAGUUACGAUCGUCAAAAUGAAGCUAUAGCUAGAUCAGACCACACAAAAACACGUAGCAGAUCAUACAGAAGCCCCAGUGAUCGACUCGCAGUAGCUCACCUUUCCUUGGGUUCGGAGCUAUCGUCUAUACAAGUUAGCACAGUCCGUGAUUACUGUGUUUUUCUGGGUUCGUCCUAUGGCUGAUGAAUAUGAGAGUAAUUAACAAAUACCUCCAUAAGUGUGGUAUGCGAAUGGACCUUUGUGUGUGAUGCCCGCAGGAGACGCUAACUCCUACCGCUAACAGCCUACCGGACAACCUGAAGACCGGAGGUUUCAGUGGCACGAAAAGGCCAGAAGUAAACGUUAGGUUGAUGAAUAACAAUCGUGAAAGCGCGGUUUUGUAAUGAUCCUCAUGGACAUUGUGUUGUAUUUCUUCCGUUCAUGUUGAGUGUUCGCUGUGGAAUUUCGCUUAUUUCGGUGGUUGUUCAAUAAAACCUGAUGUAAAAACA